UGUUCAAGUCUUUUGCCUUCCUGUACAGGAGCUUCAAGCGUUUGGUGCUUUCCUGGCUCUGGGCCCGAGCCUGCUGAACGUCCACCUGAUCCAGCCUCCGGGAAAUUUCCCAGUAGAGGCUGUCUCUCUCUUAGGUAUUCUAGCAUGGACCGACACCUUCCCUGCUUCUUCUUCCCCACAAAAUGCUACCUGAUCUCCAGAAAACCUCUUGGGGGACAGUACCUUCCCUGGCAUGGCUGCCAUACCCUCUGGUGCUGCUGCUGAGCCAUCUCCUGCCAGAGAUAUCAAGACCCUAGAAAUUCCCUGCUGGACACCAGAUACUCCUGCUGCUCCCACUUUGGAUUGGAUUGCCUGAGGAGCCCUCACUUCACCCCUUUUAUAGAAUGUGUCGUGUGUCUUGUAGAUCUGAGAGAUACAAAAACCUCUGUCUCCUUUAGAGUUUAAGACACUGCCCUCAGUAGGUACCAGUUUUUAUGGAUUUAUACAUAGGUGAAGGACACAUAGAGUCCAAGUACUUGCUUCUCCAUCAUGAUAUCAACACUGAUAUGCAAAGCCAGAAGACUAGCUCCUGAUUUAUUAAACAGUGUGGGAAGAGAGAGAACACAAUACUUUGUGGAGAGCAUAUUGAUUCAGACAAUACAUAAUUAAUACAGAUUAAAUACAAUCAUAGAAGAGCACUCAUGUUGUGCUCCUUGUGCAUGACACACAAAGGCAAACUGAAGACCAUCGUAACCUGCCCUGUGGCAACAUAAAGGUUGAGAAAACUGCUAUAUAUAUAUAUAUUUACAUAGUGUAAGACCCAUACAAAUCAAAUAUGGAUCUAAAAUAGAGCCCCUUUUUAAAGCAUAAAAUUACAGGUUGUCCAAUCGGGUGACUGCAUAGCAACUAGCAGCCGCCUUAGAGAAGCAAAAAUAAAGCAGCAGGGAAGAAAGAGAUCAGGAGCUGCUUGGAGCAUGGAUCAUCCCUCUUGGGGCUUGGAAAGCGCUCACCCUUCAGUGGGAGGCACUAAUGCAAAUAAGUGACCAGCAACAAACAUAUAUUGUCUUGAGGACUAGUGCCAGCCCAUCAAGGACACCAAAAUAUGGUUUCUUAUGUAUUUUGGUUUCCUUUGGCAAAAAUAUAGAAUUUGGCAACGCCUCUGGCCUUGUUACAUGGUCAGGUGCAUUUUAAAUUUGUCGAGAAAGACUUUUCAUUACAAUCAAGAUCUAAAUAACAACCAAUGUGCAUCCUGUCUGAGGGCCUGAUCCUGAGAGAUGCUCAGCACCCUAAGUUCUCGUGGACUUUACUUUUUCUAUUACUAUACUGCCAUGACUCUACUUGCCCAUUUGCUUCACUUCAGCCCUGCUGUUACCAUAAGGCCAGGACUAUAUAAAUAGCACGUUGUUUAAAAGUAAUGGUGGCUGUCUGAAACUGUGCCCUGUGUACACGUAUGGUGCCAACAAGCACUGACCAGCAGAGAAGCAGUCACAAUUACUUCUGAUAAAAGAUGAAGUAACUAGCAGAGCAUUAUGGCAACACAGCCCUUGACAACUCUGGUACCGGAUGUGCAGCUGGCAGCAUGCUGCUUGACUUGCUAUAUUAAAUGCCUCCACUAGGGGGAGGAUUUUGCCCCAGCAGGAAGAGCAUUUUAUGCAUUUUCAAACUGAAAUUUGCAUCAAACAGGCUUCAGUUUCUCUUCCUCUCACCAUAUUUUUAAUUAGUAGUGCUCUGCCUUGUCAGUAAGGAUAAAUCCUACAGUUUGUUAAGAUUGCCAUCCAAGAAUCUCAGCAAACAUUAAUGGAACAAAACAUGUGGUACUGAGAACAUAAGAACCAUAUAUGACUUUGAAGGAAUGAAGGAAAUAAAAUAUUUUUGGUAGCUCUGCAGCAGCUAUACCUAGUGGACAUAAAAUGCAAGUUGAAAUUAAUUGGCUCCUCAGUUCAAAUAAACUGACAAAUGAUAUCAAUCAUGUUUAUUGCUAAUAAAUCUUGAGUUAGGUUCACCUGGUGUUUGAGAUGACCCUAAAAUUCACUUCUGGAGUCUGAUAAAAGUGGGUAGGGAACAAUUUUUUGUCUGACAAGUGGCUUUGCUUUAUUGAUUUAUUUUACUUUCUUGAUCACAUAGGAUCACACCCAGCAAUUCCUGCAUUUAACCUAUAACUACUCCAAUGGGAUCAAGCCCCAUGCUUUCUCAAGCAGCCAGAGAAGGAAGUUUUAAUUAAUACAUCAGUGUGUUUCUGUAACAUUACUCUUCUAUGAACAUGAAAAUGAUGUAUUAACAUUAAUAUUAAUCUCCUCGUAGUACAGUGCCCCUUUGUAUGGGUAGCCUCUCUCCUUGCAAGUUUAUACUAAGGAUGGUCUGUGGAAAAACUUGCCGUGGUGCUGAUGUAUGCUGCCUAUGUUGAUCAAAGGAAGUAUAUAGCUGGAUUUAUUGAAUUUCGCAGCUGCAUACUGGUCCAUCGCUUAAAGAGGACAUUUUGCGUUUUUCCUAAUAAAACCUGUAUUGCAGAAGCAAUGAAAUAAACAUUUAACCAAGGCAAUAACCUGAGCCGCCAAAACGAGAAAAGAAGAAACAGAACAUGCAGUACAUAACCAGUCAAAUUCUGCUCUGGACUACAGUGGGGCAGAUUCGUUCACAGCAGUGGCGUUGCAUCAUUUGAACAGAACAAUAAGUCCCCCUGUAUCUCUGUAAUUUAUGUCCUAUCAUUUCCUUCUAGACAGAGCACCAUUCUGGUCCCCAAAUAUUAGCUUUGUGCAAACCGAGACCUCCACAACUGAGGAGAACAAGGCCAUAAAUUGGAAUCUGAUCAAUCAAAGCCAUGCUCUCCUUAUUGCAGGAGUGCAGGAUGCUUCUGCCUGGAGUUCACACACAUCAAAAAUACAGCCUCCCCCCAGACAACUUCACCAAGUCUGCAACCAUUUGAUAUUGCAUGUUACUGCCUUGUUUUUAAUGCUCCAUGGUUUUGCUCCGUUCUAUCUCUUGGACUGACCUUCUGUAUACUCUUCUCCUGACUGGGGAGGGGGAUGCUUAGCUAGAAUAAAUCCAUGCAGCUCCACUGAAGUCAGAGCUUUGUUCAUUUACACCAGCUAAGAAUUUGCCUCUUUUCUUUCAUCCCAUGAUCUCCCCACCAUUGGAGACAAAAUCUUCUCCUCUGUAGCUCCUAUCACUUGGGCAAGCUUGGCAGCAUUUCUGCCUCCCUGCUUCGUUUUCAUCUCCUUUCAAAUCCUCUCAGCCUAGCCCUCUUAAUUUCUUUCUUACUCUGCUAUUCUGCCCUACAAUAUAAUUCAGUCCCUGUAUAAUUUUGUGGUCUGUCAGCCCCUAUUUUAUUUCAGUUUGCAACUAUAUAAUUCUGUACAAAUAUCAUUUUUUGUACAUCUCUCUCUACAGAAUAGACACCUUAUAACAUAAAAGUGUUUUGAGUAUAUCCCUAGCCAGAGUUCUCUCUUUUAGGUCCUGAUUGAAGAAGGCAUCCCUAUUUCAGAAAGCACGUAAGCAUGGCAAGAGGACAUGUGCUUAAGUGCUUUCCUAAAUAUAUGUCAGCCUUGAAUAUAGCCCCAAUGUCACCCAAAGAAAAGAAGAGCAGAUUAAUAAGAGACUUCCGUGGCCCAUCUCACAGAUAAAUAGUAGUAACUCUAUGCAGGAUGUUACAUUAUGGCUACAGGAGUAGAAAAUUAAAAAAGCAACGGAGAGCUGGGGCUCUGUGAGAGUCACCACGUACAGUUUUAGUACACUUUAUCCCAUCUGGCUGCUUGUGGAAUUCAGCCUAUACUCUAUCCUACAGAGCUGACACUGCUAGAAAAUCAACAUCUCAAACCAGGGUGCUGCACUAAAUUCAGUCCACAUGAGCAGGUGGAGUAACACCUGUUUGCUCCAGGGCUAGGUUUGGCCCCAUGGAUCCAGUUGGAUUAAUUCAAAAGCAUACAAUUCAUACAUGUUUUCCUUAAACCCGGGGAAGUCCAGAAAAACUAGCCCUGGGAACUAGCUGUGCUCUGGUAUUUUUUUUUGGACGGGGAGGGGAAGACACAGUUUCAGCAGUGAUAUGGUUGUGCUGGUAAACACGGACCGGGCAUUACUAUAGCCUGAAAUGGUUUUCAGCCACAGUUAGGAAAUAGUGUGUACCUUCUAAAGAGUAGGUACUAAUUGAAAAUAUUUGUAGAUGAAAAUAUUUUAAGGACUUUUAAAAUUUGCUUUUUAAACUUUCUCGAGGUACAGAUAGUUUUCCAUUGUAGAUGGGCCCUCCGUUCCAACCACCCCACAGAUUAUCAUCAGCCUUCACCAGUCAUUUUACUGCAUUUUGUUAUUUGGACCAUACUUAGCAACAUUUGUUGUGCACAGCUUUAUAUUUAGCCUGCUAGAGAGUUUGGCUGAAAACACAAAUUUGUUUUUCCGUUUUCUUGCAACUAUCCGUUCGGAAUGAUCAGUGAGUAGCAAAACAAGAUUAUUUAGCCAGGACCAGACAAAAUCAAGUUUUGUCUUCUCUUCUGCCGGAAGGGAAUGAAGACACCUGCUUGUGCAGGCCCAGCUCUGAAAUCCUUUUUGCUUUCAUGUGGUUACUGUGCGUGUUCUCUGGAGUAUUAAAUGAGAAGAAUGCAUUAUAGUUUUAAACUUUGAUGCCCCAUUAAGAUGAAUAUGCACUUAAUGAGCUGAGAAAUUACCAUUGCUGCUUUUUGUAGUAUUGCACAGGACUAGCUAAUCAGGACUGGGGUAUGUUCUUUGUGUUCUUAACCCACUAGCAAUGAAAUUUGGAAGAGGAUCAGAUUCAAACAUAUGUUUAACACAAACAACAAUAAAAGCAGUGAGAUGCUACUAUUAACGUAGAGUUUCAUCUUUUUAAUAAUUGUAGCAACCACCCUGAGUAGUUCAGAGAGAAACUGG